AGAGAUUCAGAACUGAACAUCAACAGACAAAAAUAAUCCUUCAUGUCUGGCAAAAUUCAGCUAUGGAUUUUUCUUUCUCAAGUUCUGCAAAUAUCUGUUCAGAAGAGAGCUCCACCUAUUUCAACAGGAUAUACUUUCAGGGACAAGUAAAGUCAAACCACAUGUUUGUCUAAAACUUAGUAUGGGGCCCCUCAUUUGAACUUGGACCGUGAAU